rnacentral:rRNA from 1 species
UACGAAGGGGGCUAGCGUUGCUCGGAAUGACUGGGCGUAAAGGGCGCGUAGGCGGAUGGCACAGUCAGAUGUGAAAUUCCCGGGCUUAACCUGGGGGCUGCAUUUGAUACGUGUGAUCUAGAGUGAGGAAGAGGGUCGUGGAAUUCCCAGUGUAGAGGUGAAAUUCGUAGAUAUCAGGAAGAACACCCGUGGCGAAGGCGGCUCUCUGGGACGGUACUGACGCUGAGACGCGAAAAGCGUGGGGAGCGAACAGG